rnacentral:lncRNA from 1 species
AAUAGAACACAAAUAAUAUCAGUUUAUUUAGUGUUUUUAUUUUAAUAAACUCCUUUCAUUUUCAUUAUUUUAACGUGAUCAUAAAUCAACAGUUUCUCUGCGUUUGGGCGUCAAAUCAAACCACCAACUUUGUACCAAAUCAACCAUAUUUUUUAUUUUAUAAAAUCAAAACCAGCUUUUUGAUCCUGUGGACCGCUGACUGAUUUAAUUUACAAACUUAUGGACUUUAAGUGAGAACUGACUUCCGCUACGUCACUUCCUUUAAACAAAAAUGGCGAUCGUUACUGUUGCUGCUUGAAUGCUUCGUUUUGUUUGUUUUUGUUGUUGUUUGUGUGGCCCUUCGUCAACAUGAAGCUGCUUCCGGUUCCGCUCUAAUCCCCGGAGGUUCUGACGGUCCACCUGCACACCUGGAACAGGUCCACCUGCACACCUGGAACAGGUCCACCUGCACACCUGGAACAGGUCCACCUGCACACCUGGAAAAGGUCCACCUGCACACCUGGAAAAGGUCCACCUGCACACCUGGAACAGGUUCCCCACCUCUCUGUUCUUCUGCAGCAGUCCAGGUCGCUCUGUUCUCCCUCCUUCAUGCUCAGAACCAAAUCUUGUUCACUUCAGUGGGAACGCAUGUGGACUUUCCACAGAGAGGAGGAGAACCAAAGGGAGGAGGUGCUGUAAGCUCUGUGUGUUUGGAGGAGAACCAAACAGCCACAGGGAGAGUCCAAAGAAGCAGGAACCCUGAAGGAGUUUGGAAAUGCAUGCUGGGUAAAGGAGGAGCAGUGAGGAGCGGCAGGAACUCCUUCAGAGGUGAUCCUCAGAGGACCAGAGGCUAUUCUUCCUGACAUUUUCAGACAGUAGCGUGGUUGAGUCAGUCCUCAGUGGGUGAAGUUCUCCUCAGUGGGUGAAGUUCUCCUCAGUGGGUGAAGUUCUCCUCAGUGGGUGAAGUUCUCCUAAGUGGGUGAAGUUCUCCUCAGUGGGUGAAGUUCUCCUAAGUGGGUGAAGUUCUCCUCAGUGGGUGAAGGUUCUCCUAAGUGGGUGAAGUUCUCCUCCUCCUCAGUCUUUAUGUCCCAGACAGGAAGUAGUAGAGAGCCGUAAACUUCAGGCUGAUGGUUCCUAAAGUCAGGCGGGUGGGUCUACGUUGUCCUAAAGCAGAAAUUCUCUAUGUCUGGUUCAGACUAAAGGAUCCUACGUCAGACUCAUGGCAGUACAGUAAUAGAUUACUUCUGCUAUUACUAAGUACACUUGAGUCACUUUUGUUACAUUUUUUGGCUAAAGUGUUAAUGUUCAGAUUAAGCAGAGCCGUUUUUUGUCACUUGACCUCUGGACCAGGGGGGUAUUCCAGAAGGCCCGCUUAAACUCCCCUGACUUUAAGCCUGAACUCUGGCUGAAAUCCACCUGAACUUGCUUACUCUGGGUAUGUCGGUUCCAAAAGACCGGAUAUGAGUUAGCGUAAUUACGCUCCACUUGGUAACCCUGGGUUAACGCACGUGCACAGCAGGUACAUAAAGACAUUCUCAAUGGAUCCCCGAUUUCCAGAGUCACCAUGGAAACGCGUGGAGAAAAAGAACAGACAAAGUAAACGCACGAGUUUCUGAUCUUAUUUCUAUUUUUAUUGUGACGCAUAGAUAUAUAUAACUUAUAAAACUUAAAUUCAUUCAAUUGGUAACAAGUAAUUGGGUUACAUUUAUUCAACCUAAUUUCUUACGUCUAUCCAACUCGGUGUUUAUACAACAGAAAUUUACAUAUUUAUCUAACUAAAUGUCAUUUUACUCCAAUUCAAUGAAAUGUUUUUCCAUCUUCAUUUAUUGUACUUCUUGAACUCUCAGAUGUCUAAAUUUGAGCCUGCAGAUAUUCUCACAUUUAUAUAACGAUAAAAUGAAUAAUCCAGUAUGGAUUUAUAAUAUAUACCAUUUGUUAUCAUGACUGACUGUGACUUCAGUUCUUAUUCCAUUCUGUUGCACUAGUGGUGCUAUAUAAACUCAUCCUCCUCUCCCUCCCUCUCAGUAAUGGUGCAGAAAGAAUUAAACAUAACAGGACAAAUAACUAGACAAAACACGGUAAAACACAGUAAAACAGCUAAACAAAUAAACAUAUUUGGUCAAAAACCCACACUUAAACCCAAAUCCGUCCAGACAGGCAAAGGGAAUGAUAUCCCACAAUCCCUUGCAGUGCCGACCUAACAGCAGCAUCAAAGUUACACCUACUUAAUUGAAUUAAUUUGAAUAAAAGUAAAAUAACUGUCUGAAAACUAUGUGUUAUUUUUAAGCUGACUUAACAAAAAAAAAGAUUUUUAAUUAUCUUAACUAAAGCAAAUAACUAAGUUAGAUCAAAGUAUAAAGUUUCUCUUUCCAACAUCCAUAUGUGGUCUUAUCAUCCUCUCACGGUGGAAAAAGUAUUUUCUGAGCUUCUUCAUCCACUAAAUCAUCUUCAAAUGGACACGCCAUGCUGCUUCACCUCUCUGAAAACAAACUAACCUUCAACUAAACCUGUUCCAGACCAGGUUAUGUUCAGAGCAUCAGUUGCCAUGGCAACUUGACAUACCCUGAAACAUACCUCCAUUUCUGGAACCGAAAGCUGAG